GAUGAAGAACGUAGCGAAAUGCGAUAAGUAAUGUGAAUUGCAGAAUUCAGUGAAUCAUCGAAUCUUUGAACGCACAUUGCGCCCGCGAGUAUUCUCGCGGGCAUGCCUGUCCGAGCGUCAUUUCAACCCUCAGGGCCCGCCUGCUUCGGCAGGCGCGGCGCUGGUGUUGGGGAUCGGCCUAACCGCCGUCCCCCAAAUACAGUGGCGGUCUCGCUGCAGCCUCCCCUGCGUAGUAGCAACACUCGCAUGCGGAGCGCGGCGCGGCCACGCCGUAAAACCCCCGACUUUCUGAACGUUGACCUCGGAUCAGGUAGGAAUACCAGCUGAACUUAAGCAUAUCAAUAAGCGGAGGA
rnacentral:misc_RNA from 1 species